GUAAGUUCCGACCUGCACGAAUGGUGCAACGAUCUGGACACUGUCUCGGCCAUGAGCUCGGUGAAAUUGUAGUAUCGGUGAAGAUGCCGAUUACCCGCUGUGGGACGAAAAGACCCCGUGAACCUUUACUAUAGCUUCGUAUUGGCUUUGGAUAAAUAAUGUGUAGGAUAGGUGGGAGACUUUGAAGUGGCGUCGCCAGGCGUUGUGGAGUCAUUGUUGAAAUACCACCCUUUAUUUAUUUGAAGUCUAACCUCUGAUAGAGGAACAGUGCGUGGUGGGUAGUUUGACUGGGGUGGUCGCCUCCAAAAGAGUAACGGAGGCUUCUAAAGGUUCCCUCAACACGGUUGGCAAUCGUGUGUAGAGUGUAAUGGCAUAAGGGAGCUUGACUGAGAGACCUACAAGUCGAUCAGGUACGAAAGUAGAGCAUAGUGAUCCGGUGGUUCCGCAUGGAAGGGCCAUCGCUCAAAGGAUAAAAGGUACUCCGGGGAUAACAGGCUGAUCUCCCCCA
rnacentral:rRNA from 1 species